UACGUAGGGCGCAAGCGUUGUCCGGAAUUAUUGGGCGUAAAGAGCUCGUAGGCGGUUUGUCGCGUCUGCUGUGAAAACCCGGAGCUCAACUCCGGGCCUGCAGUCGAUACGGGCAGACUGGAGUUCGGCAGGGGAGACUGGGAAUUCCUGGUGUAGCGGUGAAAUGCGCAGAGUAUCAGGAGGAACACCGGUGGCGAAGGCGGGGAUC
rnacentral:rRNA from 1 species